rnacentral:rRNA from 1 species
UACGUAGGGUGCAAGCGUUGUCCGGAAUUAUUGGGCGUAAAGAGCUCGUAGGCGGUUUGUCGCGUCUGCCGUGAAAGUCCGGGGCUCAACUCCGGGCCUGCAGUGGGUACGGGCAGACUAGAGUGCGGUAGGGGAGACUGGAAUUCCUGGUGUAGCGGUGAAAUGCGCAGAUAUCAGGAGGAACACCGGUGGCGAAGGCGGCGAUCUGGACAAUGACUGACGCUGAGACGCGAAAGCGUGGGGAGCAAACAGG